rnacentral:lncRNA from 10 species
AUGAAGGUUAGAGGGUAAGUGACUUGCUCAGGGUCACGUGGCAUGCGUGUGGCAGAGUCAGGGUACAGCACAUGUGUUUAACACUUUCCAUUAUCCCAAGAUUCUUGGCUAACCUCCCUGGAGAGCCUCAGGAAACAUCAUGAUAAGAUAGUCAUUUUGCUAAGAGCAUUUUUGAUUAGUGUCAGUUCUGCCCAGCUUGUCUCCUUCAUAAGAUUGAAUCAAGAGCUACUUUGUUUUAUACAUGAUCUAUGGGAUAUGAAGGACUGUGAAUAACAAAGUAUUGGUGUAUUCAUAAGAUAAUAAAGAGAAGCCCAGUACCAGAGGGCCCUUGUGGCAUAAUAGAAACAGCACAGACUCUGGAGUAAGGCAGAACUGGGUAUGAACACCCCCUUUGCCAUUUUCUAGCUUUUGGCUCCUAGGUGAGUUAUUUCAUCUUUCUUGAGCCCCAUUAUAUGUAUUGGUGAGGAAGCUCCCUGCUGGGUGCCAUUUGAGAGUUAGAGAUAAGACAUGUAUUACAGUCUCUGUCCCACUGUGUGCAUGUAGUAAAUAUUGGGUAGGUGAAUGAAUGAGUGAAUGGUAGCAAUUAUUACACUUAACUUCUAUUUUGUUAAAAUGUAUUUGACUCACUAAAACAUAAAUCUGAACCCUGUCAGAAAU